CAGGCCUAACACAUGCAAGUCGUACUAUCACUCUUCUGCUUGCAUAAUCUAGUAAAGUGGCGCACGGGUGAGUCACGCGUGGGUGAUCUACCUUCGAAACGGGGAUAACUCCGCGAAAGCGGUGUUAAUACCGGUAUAAUAUCCAUACCCUCCGGGGUUCUGGAUCAAAGGUGGCCUCUACAUGUAAGCUACCGUUUGAAGAGGAGCCCGCGUACCAUUAGCUUGUUGGUGGGGUAAAGGCUCACCAAGGCUACGAUGGUUAGCUGGUCUGAGAGGAUGAUCAGCCACACUGGAACUGACACACGGUCCAGACUCCUACGGGAGGCAGCAGUGAGGAAUUUUGCGCAAUGGGGGAAACCCUGACGCAGCAACGCCGCGUGAGUGAUGAAGGCCCUCGGGUCGUAAAGCUCUGUCAAGUGGGAAGAAACUGCAUCAAGGAAAUACCGUGAUGCACUGACGGUACCACUGAAGGAAGGACCGGCUAACUCCGUGCCAGCAGCCGCGGUAAU
rnacentral:rRNA from 1 species